rnacentral:rRNA from 1 species
UACGGGGGGGGCAAGCGUUGUUCGGAAUUACUGGGCGUAAAGGGCUCGUAGGCGGCCAACUAAGUCAGACGUGAAAUCCCCAGGCUUAACCUGGGAACUGCGUCUGAUACUGGAUGGCUUGAGUUCGGGAGAGGGAUGCGGAAUCCCAGGUGUAGCGGUGAAAUGCGUAGAUAUCUGGAGGAACACCGGUGGCGAAGGCGGCAUCCUGGACCGACACUGACGCUGAGGAGCGAAAGCCAGGGGAGCAAACGGG